UUCGAAUGUUUAAAAAAGGAAAACAUUCAGCAGUCUGAUAAUGCAAUCAUAAUAAGAAUUCCUGAAUUAACUAGAGUAGAGUCACGAAUAAGUUGACAAAGCUACUGAAGAUUUUAUACGUAGGACAAUUUACGGGGUUGUAACAUUAGAAGUAACACAGCAAAAGGUAUACUAGUUUAGAAACAUUGAUUCAAGUUUUGUCAGGAUGUGGUUUUAAACACAAAAAACUGAAUAAACUGGUGGCAAAGAUCGUUCGAUGGCGUCAGAUAAAAGACUACCGAAAUUCUAAUAGACGAAUGGGGUACAAAAGGUCUCAGUUCCCGUCUGGUACCCAGUUUAAACCGAACACCCUUACAGGUAAUAAACUAUCUGUGUACCUUUCAUCCAAAUCCGUUCACGUAAUUGAGUAAGAAACAUCCAAACUUUCACAUUUACAAUGUAAAGAAGGAUAUUCAAUAAUUUCGUGCUUGCACAGUCGUAAAUAAUUGUGACAAUAAAAUGUAUGCUCUCGAAAUUAAAACGAUACAAAACGUGUUCUGCGGUUCGACAAUUCAUGACCUUUAAUUUUUAUUUUAAUAUGAUAUUGUGGAAGGUAUGCACUUAACGGGAAUUUUUUUAAUCGCUAGAAAAUGUAUUUUGCCAAUUUCAAGGCAGUGUAAUUCGAUUAUUUACUUAAUUUAUAAAUUAAAUUUAUUAUUGUCAGUAAAGUAGUCUAGACGUAUUGAGGUUAUGUACUGUAAAUACAAACAGAAAACAUUAUACGUUGAACAUCUGUUUUAAAACAAACCUCGUUAGCAAAUAAUAAUAAAUCGGAGAUGUUUACAACAAAAAUAAAUCGAUGAAAAAUGGAGAGAGGUUCGUUGAAUUGUUUGUGAAUGGGUUGGUGACAUUAGUCUUGUAGGAUGAUUAAUAUCUUAUAUUCGGUCCAGAUAUGGGAAAAAUUUUCCUCUGCAAACUUUGAAUUAUGGUGGAUUUAGGAGGAAAGUGUAGUACGGAAUGAACAGAACAAAAAAAACUUGACAAUUUUUCGGAGAUUGAAAGAUUUUUUUUUUAUUUAAGUAAGCUGACAAAAAAACUGCAAGGAUUUAAAAAAUGAAAAUAAAACUGUAUAUAAGAUGUUAAUAUAGUUGAAAUCCCACAAUUCGUAUGAGUGGUUCAUAUUGUAGAUCGAUUUUAUAGGUCAUAUAACCUAGACAAAAGUUAUUUUCUUAGUAAAUUUUUGAAUAGCGACACAAAGGGAAAGAUCCCGUAUUAGUUUAUAAAAAAGUCGUUACACUCUCGUAGCAAGAGACUAUAGGGCAUGUGUUACCAUUAGCAAUCAGCAAAUAUUAACAAAAAUCUCAAUUUAUAAAACGAAUUCCAUUUGUUUUCAGAUCGUCUUGAUUUUAGGCCUCCUCUGUUAUAAAAUUAGUUUUUUCUAAUAAUUUUUGAAAGAUAGAUAAAAUUUUUUACGUUUCGACUACUUGCAGUCCUUACUAGAUAAAAUUAAUUCCAUUUAUUUAAUAAUUUUGUUCUCAUUAUUUCUUAACAAUUCUUAUAAUAAUUGAUUUAUGUAAUGAAAAAUAUGAUACACAAAUAAAAGUUUCAAUUUUGUAA